CCAAUAGCGUAUAUUAAAGUUGUUGCAGUUAAAAAGCUCGUAGUUGAAUUUCGGGAUCAAUAUGUCGGUCGUGCUUCGGUACGUACUUGCAUUAUUGGUUUCUCCCUUCUGAAGAACCAUGAUGUCAUUAAUUUGGUGUCUUGGGGAAUCAGGACUGUUACUUUGAAAAAAUUAGAGUGUUUAAAGCAGGCUCACGCUUGAAUACAUUAGCAUGGAAUAAUGAAAUAGGACGUUUGAUUCUAUUUUGUUGGUUUCUAGGAUCGACGUAAUGAUUAAUAGGGAUAGUUGGGGGCAUUAGUAUUCAAUUGUCAGAGGUGAAAUUCUUGGAUUUAUUGAAGACUAACUACUGCGAAAGCAUUUGCCAAGGAUGUUUUCAUUAAUCAAGAACGAAAGUUAGGGGAUCGAAGACGAUCAGAUACCGUCGUAGUCUUAACCAUAAACUAUGCCGACUAGGGAUCGGAUGAUGUUAAUUUUUUAAUGACUCAUUCGGCGCCCUACG
rnacentral:rRNA from 1 species